rnacentral:rRNA from 1 species
CCCUUAGAUGUUCUGGGCCGCACGCGUGCUACACUGAGUGGAUCAGCGGGUCAGGUUGCGCGAAAGCGUUUCCUAAUCUUUAAAUCCGCUCGUGAUGGGGAUUGACGGUUGCAAUUUUCUGUCAUGAACGAGGAAUACCUUGUAAGCGCGGGUCAUCAUCCCGCGCUGAAUACGUCCCUGCCCUUUGUACACACCGCCCGUCGCUCCUACCGAUUGAGUGGUCCGGUGAGGCUUUGGGAUCUGAGCGGAAAGAGCGUUUCGCUUGUUCUGUUUGGGAAACUUGGUCGAACCUUAUCAUUUAGAGGAAGGAGAAGUCGUAACA